CUAGGUAGUCAUGCUAAAUUUUUAAAAAUUCUUUAUUACUAAAAUUAUAAAGCAGUAACAAUCAAAACAUUUAAUAAUAAAUGUACUAAAACCUGCAGCUUUGCUGUGUUAAGUUUUAAUCAGGUCUGCUUUUAACUUUUGCUACCUUAAUAAGUUAAAAUGAUAUCACUGUGGUGUUUUAAUUUGAAUUUAUUUUAUUAGUUGGAUAAUUAUUUGUCCCUGUAUUACUACUGGUACAGGAUUGUUUUUCUUAAAUCAAUAAAUUAUGAAAUUUUUAAUUUCUUUUUUAUAAUUAUGAAAACAGUUUUAAAAAUAUACCAGUUAUGGUGAUUAACAGGUACUUCUAUAUAAUAACAACAUUGAAGAAAUAUACUGAAAAUGAGAUUAAUUUAUCUUUUUUUCAUGUUUAAAAAUAUAAUUAUAGAAUACAGAUGCACUUUAGUGUUUGAAAGUAUAUUUUUUAUAAUGGUAAUUUUUAGUUCUCUUUUUAUUGAGAAAAGCUUUUUUCUUUUACAGUUAUUUCUGAAGUUCAUAUUUCUUAAGCACACAAACGUUUUCUUGAUUUAAUGUUUCCAAGGCAUGCUAGUCAGUGUUUUCUAGUCAACAAACAAUCUUGAAAUAUUGGUGUCUUGCAGUGACAAAAAUGUAUUUCUCGACUUGUUAUUUUUCAAUAUGUUACAUAUUGGCUGUAGAUCAGCUGGGACUCUGCUUUCUGCUGCUUCUUCAUCCUGAGAGCCAGUCUGGAGGAUCAGCCCUGUCCUAGGACAUGUUUUUGAACUUAAGGGAAAAAAGCAUUGGCAGAACCACAUGUGGAUUCUGCUUGGAUGUUGCAAAUAUUACCUUCUACAAAUAAAGUCAAGUAGUCAACCCUGGAAUUAGAGGUCAAAGCAGCAUAAUUUUCUCAUAGAAUGUGGGGUGACUUACUGGAACAAGAUUGCAUCUAAAACCACCAAAACCAAAAGAAUAUAGGAUUAGUAGUUAUUUUGUUAUCUAGUCUUGGUUUUUUGAUGUGUUACCUUACCUAUUAUUGCACAAAUUUCUUCCCAUCUCAGGGCUUCCAUCCUAUUAAGAGUACAGUACUCUGAAUCAGCAGGUCUGCAGUAGGAUAUCUUUUUUAAAAAUACUUUUACAUACACAAUAAUUGAGAACCAUUGACUUGGAGGGUUUCUAAUCAUCUCUCAGUUUUAAGUUUUGUGACCGACAUUUUUAAAGUGAAGGUGAGUUUUUCCUGCAUUUUUUUUGUGAAAAGUUUUUACAUAUGAAGAAAUAAUUUUCAAAGAAAAAAAUUUUAAUUCCAACUUUUACACAACUGAUAUUUUUAAUUUUUCUUUGUUCCUUUCUAGUGUGUCUAUAUAUUUAAUGUUACAUGAUAGACAUAUUGCUACACAGUAUUUAUUUCUUGUCCCUACUCCAUUUCCUUCCAAGCAGAUCAUUCUUAGUCUUCCUUCUUAUCCAAGGUGAGAUGCUGUGGCUGAUACUGUUUCCAGUACACUGGACUCCUUUGCACUUUCAUUGUCAGAUCCCCAGUUAUGUCCCCUUCUCAUCCGGUUUAGCAGUACAGCUUCAAAUGAUAUAACUGAUUUGUGUCAUUGCAAAUUCAGGGUCUGCAAUCUGCACUGGACCUGCCAUGUCCCUAAUCUGUCUUUUGUAUCAGUCAGAACAGCUCCCUCUCCCAUUCCCUUGAUGAGCUAGUCUCAACAUUGCCUCCGCCCUCAAGCCUCAUUCUCAGCCAUUCUUCUCAGUUUCUGCAAGUGGCCUUGUGUUCAUCAAGCAAGAUCUGCUACCUGCCCUCCUGCCUUCUGACUUACCUGUAUCUGUUAUCAUUCUCAUUCACCUUGUUUCAGUUACAGGGCAAAAAUGGCCACUGUGCUGUGGAAGACCACCCUUUCUUAGGUUCUGGACUCUUAUCUUCUGCUGCUGUUAGGGACCUAACUACAUCCUCCUCUCUUAUCUCUCUUCAGUGUGUCUUCACUACUUUUUCUUCAUCCUCAGUUUAUAAAUUUCUGUAUCUUACCUAUCAUAAAUUCAGUAAACCAGAUAAACCUUUCCUUGACUCUCCUUAAACCUCUUUCUAGUUAACAUGGAAACCUGGACAAAUGAAAGCAGCUACUGGUUUUAAUGCUAUAGACAUUUGGCAUGACAGUUAUCUUAAAAGCUUUGUCCUUGAUUUUUAUGUCACUUCUCUCUGAAAUCCCUUACACUUUUCAACAUUUUCCCAUUUCCUUUGUAGGUUCCUCCUCUUAUUCAGAAUAUAGAUUUAUAUCUUUAGUCCAGUUCUCUUUGAACUUUUUACUGUCAUGGUGUCAUAUAGACCGUAUGUGUUGAUAACAUGAAAUUUCUCUUUUUUUUGAGAGAGUGAGCAAGAGAGAGAGCACAAGUGAGGAGGGGAGUUGGUGGGGGGAGAGAGGGGGAGAAUUUUAAGCAGGCUCCACACCCAGUGAAGCCCAAUGGAGGGUUCAGUCCCACAACCGUUGAGAUCAUGAUCUCAGCCAAAAUCAAGAGUCAGACGCUUAACUGACUGAGCCACCCAAGUGCCCCAGAAGUUGCUCUUUCAUACCGGGUCAUCCAGUUGCCCUCUGGACAUUUCCACUGUGUCCCAGCCCCAGGCACCUCUAAUAAUAUAUCUGAGACUCACCAUUUUUCCUCUUUGGACAUAUUUCUCCUCAUUUAGUCUUCAUUUCUUUUGGAGGCACAACCAUUAUCACCCACACUAGAAAUAUAGGUAUCACUCUUGACUGUCCCUUUGUGCUCUUUCACAUGGAGAGAUAAUUGCCAAAAUCUCCUAAUUUUGAUUCCUGUUCUUCUUACUUCUUCUCCCUUCACUCUCUUGGGUCAGGCUCCUACUGUCAUCUGGAGUAUUAUAACAUUUUGGUAACAAAUCCCCUAGCCUAAUUUGUUGUUGUCAUUGUCAUAUUUGUCCUCUAAAUAACCAUCUCAAAUGCACUGUCACUCCCCUCGCUUAGGCCAUGCUUGAUAUUCAUGACUCUCUAUGAUUUGGCUCUUGCCUGGUUUACUAACCACGUUGGUUUCCACUGUUCACUACAGCCUUUGUGUGAUAGAGUCAGUGCUUCUAAUUCUCCAUAUAUGCUAUGCUUAUCUUCAUCUCUGUAUUGUACAAUACUAAAAUCUCUUCCUCAAAUCCAAAGCCUGACAGGUUUCGGUAUCUUCAGAGCUUUUUACUCAUCCUUUGAGACUUCACUGGAAUUACCUAUUUACUGAUAUGUGUUCCCCUUUGCCCAUCUUUAUGUGUAAAAUCCUUACAGCAGUGACUGUCAUAAAGUUAAAUACUGUAUACAUGUUGGCUAUUAAUGUUAUCACAUUGUAUUUGGAUUUUUUUUCAGGUCCAUUUCCUCUAACACUGGCAGAACCUAGCAGUGACCAAAUGAUAACAUAUAGUAUAGUAUAUAUAGUAUUCCAUUAGAUUGCGACAUUGUAUUUCAGUUGUCUCCUUUUAGGGCAGUUAUAAAUUUGUAAACUUUUAGAUAAUACCUUUUUGUAGGUUUUUUUCAUACUUAUGAUUAUUUCUUUGGCAUAGUUUCUUAGGAGUGGGAUGACUGAAUUAGAGUGCAAGCAUUUUUAUGACUCUUCUAUGUAUAGCCAUGUGUUUCUACAGAAAGGCCAGUUUUGAUGUCUGAUGAUGUACCAUUUUUUUCUGCAGUUUUGUUCAUCACAUUAUUUCUUCCCCCAAUUUAAUGUCUAUAAAACAAUACCUUUAAUACUUGAAUUUAUAUUUCUCCAAGAAGUCAGAACAUUUUGCCAGAUAUAUA